UACGGAGGGUGCAAGCGUUAGUCGGAAUUACUGGGCGUAAAGGGUGCGUAGGCGGGAAUGUAAGUCAUAUGUGAAAUACUGAAGCUCAACUUCGGCUGUGCAUAUGAAACUGCGUUUCUAGAGGAAGAGCGGAGAAAACGGAAUUCCACGUGUAGCGGUGAAAUGCGUAGAUAUGUGGAAGAACACCUGUGGCGAAAGCGGUUUUCUAGCUUAUUCCUGACGCUGAGGCACGAAAGCGUGGGGAGCAAACAGG
rnacentral:rRNA from 1 species